rnacentral:rRNA from 1 species
GUGGGGAAUAUUGGGCAAUGGGGGCAACCCUGACCCAGCGACGCCGCGUGAGGGAAGAAGGCCUUAGGGUCGUAAACCUCUGUUGUGUGGGAAGAAGGAAGUGACGGUACCACACGAGGAAGUCCCGGCUAACUACGUGCCAGCAGCCGCGGUAAUACGUAGGGGACGAGCGUUGUCCGGAAUUACUGGGCGUAAAGGGCGCGUAGGCGGUCAUUUAAGUCAGCUGUGAAAUGGUCCGGCUCAACCGGAUCAUGCGGUUGAAACUGGAUGACUGGAGUGCUGGAGAGGCAAGUGGAAUUCCCAGUGUAGCGGUGAAAUGCGUAGAUAUUGGGAAGAACACCGGUGGCGAAGGCGACUUGCUGGGCAGCAACUGACGCUGAGGCGCGAAAGCCAGGGGAGCAAACGGGAUUAGAUACCCCUGUAGUCC